AAUUAUAUAGGUCGUGGAUCUGAACUUGUUUGCCUGCUAUAAUUUCUGAAUUCUGAGUCGCUACCAUUGCCAAAUACCCUUCUUCAACCAGGUACAGGUUUUCUGUGUAAUUGAGUCUUUUAAUUUUGAUUUACGAGAGGUUGGAUUUUCGAAUUGGGUGGAAAUUGCAAUUUGCGGAACUGAAAAUUGUGAAGAUGGAAGGAAUGGAGCAGU
rnacentral:misc_RNA from 1 species